UACGCUGGCGGCACGCCUAAUACAUGCAAGUCGAACGAAGUAGCAAUACUUAGUGGCAGACGGGUGAGUAACAUGUAGGUAUCUUCCCUUUGGUGAGGAAUAACACGAGGAAACUUGUGCUAAUACCUCAUAAGUCUUUACGGAGAAAGCUUUAUGCGCCAAUGGAUGAGCCUGCACUUGAUUAGUUAGUUGGUAGGGUAAUGGCCUACCAAGACAUUGAUCAAUAGCUGAUUUGAGAGGAUGAUCAGCCACAUUGGGACUGAGACACGGCCCAAACUCCUACGGGAGGCAGCAGUAGGGAAUCUUGCACAAUGGGGGAAACCCUGAUGCAGCGAUGCCGCGUGAGUGAAGAAGGCCUUUGGGUUGUAAAGCUCUUUCGUCGGGGAAGAAAAUGACUGUACCCGAAUAAGAAGGUCCGG
rnacentral:rRNA from 1 species